rnacentral:rRNA from 1 species
CCUACGGGUGGCAGCAGUGAGGAAUAUUGGUCAAUGGCCGGAAGGCUGAACCAGCCAAGCCGCGUGAAGGACGAAGGUGCCAAGCAUUGUAAACUUCUUUUGUCAAGGGACAAAAUCAGGCUCGAGAGCCUGACCGAGGGUACUUGAAGAAAAAGCAUCGGCUAACUCCGUGCCAGCAGCCGCGGUAAUACGGAGGAUGCGAGCGUUAUCCGGAUUUAUUGGGUUUAAAGGGCGCGUAGGCGGGAACUUAAGUUAGAUGUGAAAACUCCGGGCUUAACCUGGAGACUGCAUUUAAAACUGGGUUUCUUGAGGGCAGGAGAGGAGAGUGGAAUUCCUAGUGUAGCGGUGAAAUGCGUAGAUAUUAGGAGGAACACCAGUGGCGAAGGCGACUUUCUGGACUGUACCUGACGCUGAGGCGCGAAAGCAUGGGGAGCGAACAGGAUUAGAUACCCUAGUAGUC